CCGACUUCCCUUUCUUUUUCUCUAGAGAUGAUUUUUUAUUUUAUUUUUUUUCUUAUUUCAAUCAAUCUAUCUUCUUCCUUCGUCUUCUUCAAUUAUAAACAUCAGAACAUUCUUUGUUGGAAAAGAUGAGUAAAUCGGGUUCUUCUCGAUCGAUUCAACUCCAAUCGAGUUCAAAAUCAAAACUUAAGAAUCCUAAUCCGUCCUUUGUAACUUUGCGCACACUUGGCUUGAAGAGAUAAGGUUGAAGAGGAUGGUGGUUACUGAAGAAUGCUUAGAACACUUCCCUCCACUCUCCACCGGUAUCCGCCUUACCGGAAAAUCGAACCCGCUGCUCCGAAGCAUCUCCACCGUCGGGUUGAUAUUGUCAUGGCUGCGACUGUGGAUUCGGAUUACUCGUCGAGAAGGAGCAGUAGCAACGAGCAGAGGGAAUCAAUUAUGCUUCCUGGAUGCGACUCAACACCCUUGCUUACUCUUACCUCAACACUCUUGCUACUGUUCUGCAAGGUUUUUUUUUACACAGAACAUUAUUACAGAAAACACAGAACAGAGCAUGGAGAAGUAAUGAAGAACUUGAGGAUCUUGUUAAUGACUCGAGGAGUCAUAGCAAGAGUAAAAGGGUGACCUUGAAGCAGAACCACAAGUUCCUUAUAAAGGUUAAGGAGCACCAAGAAGGCAAAGGAUGCUAAGAAGCUUGGGCUUAACCGUAACCAUGUGUAAUCUCUGUCUCAGAUUGAGAUUGUAGUCAGCUUGACCCUUGUCUCAAGCGUAAACCUUUCUCUGGAUUCAUAGAUUGUUGAACCAUGGAGAUAAUUGUUGAACCAUGGAGAUGAUCGGUGAUGGAUAUAAGGAGUUCUUUCUUGAUGCCCCAGACUCGGUGAAGGUAUAUCCAUUGAUAACGAGAUGAUUUGUCUUAUGUUCAGGGAUGCUGGUGUCUCAGCCAUUGCCUCCCACCUUACCCGUUCCAUGGCAGUUACUACUUCGUUUGGUGGGGUCUUCAAGAUUUGGUUUUGCAACAGUGAGAAGAACCAGACUGUUAAAGACUCUAGCUGGAUGUUUCAUGCAGUUGGUUCUUAUAAGUAAUAGCUUUCAUAAGCAUCAGGAAUCUUAAACAUUCACAACUGAUUCACGGAUGAGAGUAAUGUAUUACACGUUGGGGGAGGUUUAUGUAUAUUUUGGUGCACUCUACAGCACUUUGAGAUGGUUUAGUUUAUUAAUUA